GAUCGGGGAUGGGCUCGCGGCCUAUCAGCUUGUUGGUGGGGUAAUGGCCUACCAAGGCGACGACGGGUAGCCGGCCUGAGAGGGCGACCGGCCACACUGGGACUGAGACACGGCCCAGACUCCUACGGGAGGCAGCAGUGGGGAAUAUUGCACAAUGGGGGAAACCCUGAUGCAGCGACGCAGCGUGCGGGAUGACGGCCUUCGGGUUGUAAACCGCUUUCAGCAGGGAAGAAGCGAAAGUGACGGUACCUGCAGAAGAAGUACCGGCUAACUACGUGCCAGCAGCCGCGGUAAUACGUAGGGUACGAGCGUUGUCCGGAAUUAUUGGGCGUAAAGAGCUCGUAGGUGGUUGGUCACGUCUGCUGUGGAAACGCAACGCUUAACGUUGCGCGGGCAGUGGGUACGGGCUGACUAGAGUGCAGUAGGGGAGUCUGGAAUUCCUGGUGUAGCGGUGAAAUGCGCAGAUAUCAGGAGGAACACCGGUGGCGAAGGCGGGACUCUGGGCUGUAACUGACACUGAGGAGCGAAAGCAUGGGGAGCGAACAGGAUUAGAUACCCUGGUAGUCCAUGCCGUAAACGUUGGGCACUAGGUG
rnacentral:rRNA from 1 species